UACGUAGGGUGCAAGCGUUAUCCGGAAUUAUUGGGCGUAAAGGGCGUGUAGGCGGUACCAUAAGUCAGAUGUGAAAGCCCUAGGCUUAACCUAGGAGGUGCAUUUGAUACUGUGGAACUAGAGAUCGAGAGAGGUAAGUGGAAUUACGAGUGUAGAGGUGAAAUUCGUAGAUAUUCGUAAGAACACCAGUGGCGAAGGCGACUUACUGGCUCGAUACUGACGCUAAGGCGCGAAAGCGUGGGGAGCAAACAGG
rnacentral:rRNA from 1 species